rnacentral:lncRNA from 1 species
GUUCAUUCUGGAUCUGAACUCCCGUCCUAACUCUUUCACAGGAAGCGCUUAGAUCACUCUGCUACUUUCUGGACCAGAUGCUGAUACUGGGCCAUCCUUGUAAAAAAAGUAAAAGUUAAGACUGUUUAUUCUGGAAUGGAUAGAGCAGUGUUAUCCAUGGCAUUGCCGUUGUCUAGUUUCUGAACACAGGUGAGUACAAUUUACGGCAAAAAAAAAAAAAAAGAAAAAAAAAAAAAAAAAAAAAAAAAAAGUAUCGAUUGUACUUUGUACAAACCUCCAAAAUACUAAACCGCAUUAAAGAAAGCUGAUACAGAAGAUCAAGUCCCUUCUCAUUCAGUUUCUGUGAAGCAUCUAGAAAAAGCAAAUUCCCUAAGACAAGCAGAUGCUGGUUGCCUUGGGUUGGAGCUGGAAGUAAGAGCGAUUGCUCAUAUUGAGAUAGUUCUGUUGGUGGUGCAGUGUUCAGAGUCUGGAUUGCAGAAGAGUUCUCAGAGCUCUACGGAUCCAUUGACAACAUUACCGUGUAUAUUUAAGAUGAGUGGAUACUUUUUUAGUCUCAUUUUGUGUAAGAGUGAUGCGUACUAGGACCUGUUCACCAGCUAGCUUCCAUUGUAAAAUUAGAGAAAUAUUUUCAUGUAAAAAUUCAGACAGCCUGGGCUAAAACUAGAUUAUUAAAAUGCCCAGCAUUUGAGAUGUCCUAGUU